AACCAUAGAAACCUGCGGAGUACCUGCGGAAGGAUCAUUACAGAGUUCAUGCCCUCACGGGUAGAUCUUCCACCCUUGAAUACUAUACCUUUGUUGCUUUGGCGGGCCGCUUUGGCUACUGGCUCUGGCUAGUAAGUGCCCGCCAAAGAACCCCAAAACUCUGAAUAUUAGUGUCGUCUGAGUACUAUAUAAUAGUUAAAACUUUUAACAACGGAUCU
rnacentral:misc_RNA from 1 species